CUAAGGAUAUUGGCCGAAAGCGUCCCGAGCUUGUCUCUGGAAAGUGCUUCGUCCGUUCCAAAGAACAUUGCCGUCGUCCUCAUGUCCCUUCAUCCUGGAAAUGUCCUUCAGCCCAUCGGCUGAACGGAUACAGCCGCCUGACGGCGACCGGGCUUGCCCGCCAUGCCUUAGGCAGUGGUGCGGGGGCCGGUAGCUCAGGUGGUUAGAGCGCACGCCUGAUAAGCGUGAGGUCGUGGGUNCAACUCCUACUCGGCCCACCAGUACAAGAUGAUUUGGGGGCUUUAGCUCAGCUGGUAGAGCACCUGCUUUGCAAGCAGGGGGUCAACGGUUCGAACCCGUUAAGCUCCACCAUCUUGUCACGGCAUGACGCGCUGUUUGUUCCAGAGAUGAAGACAUCAAUUUCGUGGCGGCCCUUGUGGCUGAUCCAUGAUCCUGCGGGAUUUGCCCGCUUCUUUGACAUUGUGAAUGGGUUUUUUAAUCGAUGCCGUGGUGGUGUUGGUGCCGGAUUUAUCCGGGAUCGAUAUCAUUACAUAAUCAAAUGAUUAUCUGGCUGAGUAUUAAAUCAUCUGCAUCAAGACAGCUUUUCUGUACGCCGCAAGGCAUGCAGCAUUGCCGUUGAUGGUGUGGAUUCUCAAGCGUGAGGUAAGAGCAUUUG
rnacentral:tRNA from 1 species